rnacentral:rRNA from 1 species
AUGCUGGCGGCGGGCGGGCGCGCCCGGCUAGCCGGUGUAGACGUGGACGCCGACGGCGAUGAGGAAGAUGGUGACGAGCGCGAAGUAGAGGACGGCGUGGAUGAGGAUGGAGAGGCCGCUGGUGUGCAUGCUGCCGAACUCCGCCACCCGCCCGCGCCCCGGCAGCGUGCACAGCAGCCCCGGCGUCAGCAGCACGAACAGCACCGUCGCGACGAUCACCGGGCCCCAGUCCGCCAUCUCCCCUCUCCUCUCUCUGAUCUGUUCUGUCUAAAAACCCCAAAUCUUGAGCGAGCCUCUGGAAUUUUUUCUGGGAACUCUCCGGGAUGUGUGUGUGCAGUGCGGCGGAGACGGGGGAGGUCACGCAUUAAUGUGUGCCUCUCCAGCUUUGCUCGCAGAGUGGGGGGAGUGGGUGGCCGCCAGCUCAGCUUCCGAUGCCGCUUGAUAUGCCCGUGA